GUGUUUGUAGCUCAAUAGGUAGCAUUUGCCUUCUAAGCAAGACGUUAUGGGUUUGAGUCCUAUCAGACAUU
rfam:Amphimedon queenslandica AMPQTscaffold_12718_Cont10360, whole genome shotgun sequence.